CUGCAGACCCGAAACUGAGUGAUCUAUCCAUGAGCAGGUUGAAGCUGGUGUAAGAGCCAGUGGAGGACCGAACCCGCUGACGUUGAAAAGUCUUGGGAUGACUUGUGGAUAGGGGUGAAAGGCCAAUCAAACUUAGUGAUAGCUGGUUCUCUCCGAAAUAUAUUUAGGUAUAGCGUCAUGUUCGAAACUUAUGGGGGUAGAGCACUGAAUGGGCUAGGGCUGCUUACCGCGGUACCAAACCCUAUCAAACUUCGAAUACCAUAAGUGGAUUCAUGGCAGUCAGGCGGUGGGUGAUAAAAUCAAUCGUCGAGAGGGGAACAACCCAGACUACCAGCUAAGGUCCCUAAGUUGCAUUUAAGUGGAAAACGAUGUGGAGUUACUGUGACAACCAGGAGGUUGGCUUAGAAGCAGCCAUCCUUUAAAGAAAGCGUAACAGCUCACUGGUCUAGUGAUUCUGCGCGGAAAAUAUAACGGGGCUAAGAUGUACACCGAAGCUUUAGAUUCAAUUUUAAUUGAGUGGUAGGAGAGCGUUCUAUUCAGCGUAGAAGAUGUACCGGUAAGGAGCGUUGGAGCGGAUAGAAGUGAGCAUGCAGGCAUGAGUAGCGAUAAUUGAGGUGAGAAUCCUCAACGCCGAAAACCCAAGGUUUCCUACGCGAUGCUCGUCAUCGUAGGGUUAGUCGGGUCCUAAGUCGAGUCCGAAAGGGGUAGACGAUGGCAAAUUGAUUAAUAUUUCAAUACCAACAUAUAAGCGCGAUGUGGGGACGCAUAGAGUUAAUCGAGGUCACUGAUGGAAUAGUGGCUCGAAGGACGUAGGCUGUUACUUAGGCAAAUCCGGGUAACGUUAGGCCGAGAUCUUACAGGCUCUUGACACUCUUCGGAGGAGAUGGAGAAUCGAUGAUACUGUCGUGCCAAGAAAAGCCACUAAGUAUAUUAUAUGUUGCCCGUACCGUAAACCGACACAGGUGGGUGGGAUGAGUAUUCUAAGGCGCGUGGAAGAACCCUGGUUAAGGAACUCUGCAAACUAGCACCGUAUCUUCGGUAUAAGGUGUGCCCCAAGUAGGUGAAGAGG
rnacentral:rRNA from 1 species